GCACUUUUCGCACCGGUUCUUAAAAACCAGUGGUAAAAGAAAUGGACGGGAUUGGGGAAAAGACUUUUCGCUCCGGUUUUAACCAAACCGGUGGGAAAAGUUUGUUUUUUCGCACCAGUUCUAACCAAACCGGUGCGAAAAAUUUGUUUUCCCACCGGUUCGGUUCAAACCGGUGCAAAAGCAAUUGUUAAAUAAAAAAAAAAACCCGGUCUCCGAUCUUACUUUUCCUCUUCCGUAGUCCCUCUUUCAUCUCAAACCCUACUCCGCUUUUCUCUUUCAUCUCAAUCUCCUUUUCUCUCCUCUCCCCGUCCUUACAGAUCUGUCGCCCUAAAACUUCUGGCUCGAGACUCCAUCGCCGUCGCCACGACACCUGGUUGGGUGGGUGGGUUAGUUCCUUGGUGGUCGUCUGGUCAGUGGCGGUCGUGCUAGUUAGUUGGGGUUUCGGUUUGUUGGAGGUGGUAAGGUGGUCGGCUGGUCGCUGGUGGACAAGCGAGUUGGUUGGGUGGGUUCGUUGGUGGUCGUUGGUGACGUGGGGCUUCAAUUGGUGGUGGUGCGAGUUGGUUGGGUGGCUUUUGGGUGGUUGUGGUGGGGUUUUAGAUAUUCAUGGUGGUGAGAGGGUGGUUACAAGGUGGGUGCUGGUGGUGAUUAUUUUCUCUCUCAUCCACUUGGAAAGCAGAAAUGACAUUUUAAUAUGAUGUGUUGGGAGGCCAAUUUUUUUCUUGUUGCUGAAAUCCGAGCUGACAUUGAAUAUUUAAAGUCUGUGAUUCAGGUUCGCACUGGAUGUUUACGUUCUAUGAUUUACUAAACCGUGCAAUUCCAAAUCAUACAGAUUUGUCAUCAAAUUAUUUGCAAAAUCUAUAUGGAUCCAAAUUCCAGGUUAAAGGAAUUGAAAAGGAAGAGAUAAUUUGUACCAAACAGGAGCUGGGACAGAAAAAAAAAACUUGUCUGACCACUAAUGGUUAUCAUUGGAUCAAAAUUCUUAUGGAACAGAAACUUGGCUGCUUAUAAACCUACAGAGAGGUAGCUAAAGAAUUGAUGAAAUAUCGGCCAGAUAUAAUCAUUAGUGUGCAUCCAUUGAUGCAACAUGUAAUGUUAUAGGCCCCUAAUUUGCAUGGUGUGAAGGCUUUCGCGACAGCGGUGAAGAAGUUUGAUGACUCUAGGAAGAAGCUUGUCACAGAAAUGGAUUUUGGAGGGUUGUUAAGUAUACCCUUAACUUUUGUACCCCGGAAGUUUGUGUACUGGCUAUUGACAAGGGUGAUGGUUGAUGGUUCGAUAAAUUUUGGAGAUGAGUAUGUGCUUCCUUUGAGUCCUCUUCAGGUCGAGUAUGUACUUGGGAUUCCCAUGGGGUCGAAGGCAUUGCCCUGUACGAUUCCUCAGGAUAAGUAGGUAGAGCAUAGUAGAAUUUUGGAAAAGUUUGGGAAAAAUGAUAGCAUUUCAUUAGUAGCUGCUUUGGGGGCACUGAUUUGAAAGGAUGAGGAAGGCAAUGUGUUGCCACUAUCGGAUGAUGAGAAGGCUGAUUUCAAGAUAGCCUUUCUCAUAGCAGCUCUAGGCUACGUAUUGUGUGCUACGACAAAUAUAAGUUAUCUUGGGGUGAAGCUUGUACCGUCGUUAUUGGUUUACGAUGAAGCUGAUGAGUAUGACCGGUGAACUUAUGUAUUUAACUAGAUGGUUGCAGCAGCCAAGAGUUUCCAAAAGAAAUUUGCUCGUGAUGGAUAUGUUGCAGGUUUUGGGGGUUGUAUCCUUUUUUUAUUGGUGAGUAAAAUUGGGUAUUUGCCACCGUACACCAAAUGCUUUUUGAGUAAUUCUAUUAAAAUUUGCAGUCUUAUUGUUUGUAAUGGCUAGUUGAACUAAAUCAUCCAUCCGGUGCAUUUUUUGUAGAUUUUUUAUCUAGAUCACCUCAGUCGCGUCUCAAUGAGGUGGGGUGUGAGACCGAGACUCGAGGCAUGGUCCGUAUAAAAGAUCAAUGACGCGGUUGGCGAUGAUAAAAAAGAAUCUGGGGAUUUCUAAAAAAUUGCAGUUAAUAUUUGUUUGACUUUCAUUUGAUGUGAAUACUACUAAAGCUGUUGUGUUUUGGGUUCUUUUGUUGUUUGAUAUUUUUGCAGUCUUUGAAUAUAGCUUAUGGGGAGGAGCAUCCGUUGACUCCUCGGGAGGUUCCAAAGCAAAGGGUUGAUAGAGUAGACGUGCAGCAAAGGGUGGAAAGAGUUGACAUGCAACAAACUACGCAGGAGGUAGACGUGGAAAAUAUUACGCGGCAGAUAUAAUGAAAAUCAAUGAUUGUUUUAGAUGUAGCUUUGUAUUUUAUAAAAUAAGUGAUAUGUCCUAUGCCAGUUGUUAAUAGUUUGUAUUUAUGUUUUCCUAAAGGUGUUUGAUAGAAUUACACCCAAGUUGAUGUCUGUGAUAGACUUGAAAUUAGGUGAUGUUAUGAAAUCAAUGCAUCAGUUGAUGUCAUAGUGCGUUGACGUAGCUAAUGCCCAGAGAGUGAUUGGGGGUAAGCCAAUGGAGAAGGAAGUUGUUGUGCAUGAGACCUUGUCUAGUGAAAAGCAUGAUGCUGUGAGUGGUGCAGAUCAAGAUUUGGCCAGUUGUUUGUUAGAGAAGGAACAACUGAAACAAGGUGGGAAAGGACUUAGUGAAGAUCCUUCUACUGAUACAGUUUCAAGUGAAGAUGACCUGGAAUGUGUGGUUCAAAAGAUUACGGUUGAUCCACUAUUUACAAAGGAUGGGGGUGAGGUCAAGGUGGUUGGGGAUGAAUCCAAGGUGGAUGGGGUUGACGCAGAGGUUGAUGAGUGUGUUCACAGAGUUCCAUAGCUGUUUUGAUACUGAAAUGGAAGAUGAGAACAUGGAGCCUAGACCUCAAAUAGUUGUGGGCUUGGUUGGGAUGAGGGGAACUAUUGUGUUGGUUGAUGCUGAGUGCAGUUUGCCAAAUUAAUAUUCAUCUGAUGAGGAAGAUGAGUCUACUGGGAAGGGGGACAGAACUGCGGAUAAGAGGGUGGUGAAACCUAUAAAGGCAGCCUUGUCAGCCAUGUUCACCAAUGUGUCAAACACCCGAUGUCAUACAACGCUUGAGGCACGUUUGCUGCAGUUUGUAAAGCGCUAGAAGGACCUGAAGGAUCCACUUAGGUCUUUGUCCCAGUGCUUGAAGUUCCCAAGGAUUCCCCUAACGAGUCGCACUGGUGGUGCUUAGCAUUAGACAUGAAGGCUCGAAAGUUGUGGAUGAUAGAUUCGAUGUACCCUGACCCGUUCAUCACACAUGCCAAAGAUUUUAAUCUUCAGGUUAGUGGUAUCGACGUCCUUUUUCAACUCUGUGACCAAGAAUGGAAGACUGGUCAACUAAAUUCUUGGACAAGAUGCACUGUUGAGAUCUUAGAGCUAAGGGAUCACUCAUAUUGUGGUGUUCUUAUGCUGGCGAGUAUUAAGUUCUUUUCCAGAAGAUUCACCACAAGUUUAGUGUGGUAAGUGUUUCGGGGUUUUCUGAUGUCCUGCGGGAGAGUUACAAUUCCGAGACUGG